rnacentral:rRNA from 1 species
GACGAACGCUGGCGGCGUGCCUAAUACAUGCAAGUCGAGCGGACCGGAUUGGGGCUUGCCUUGAUUCGGUCAGCGGCGGACGGGUGAGUAACACGUGGGCAACCUGCCCGCAAGACCGGGAUAACUCCGGGAAACCGGAGCUAAUACCGGAUAACACCGAAGACCGCAUGGUCUUCGGUUGGAAGGCGGCCUUUGGGCUGUCACUUGCGGAUGGGCCCGCGGCGCAUUAGCUAGUUGGUGAGGUAACGGCUCACCAAGGCGACGAUGCGUAGCCGGCCUGAGAGGGUGACCGGCCACACUGGGACUGAGACACGGCCCAGACUCCUACGGGAGGCAGCAGUAGGGAAUCUUCCGCAAUGGGCGAAAGCCUGACGGAGCGACGCCGCGUGAGCGAAGAAGGCCUUCGGGUCGUAAAGCUCUGUUGUGAGGGACGAAGGAGCGCCGUUCGAAGAGGGCGGCGCGGUGACGGUACCUCACGAGAAAGCCCCGGCUAACUACGUGCCAGCCGCCGCGGUAA